CUACGGGCCGCUGCAGUGGGGAAUAUUGCACAAUGGGCGCAAGCCUGAUGCAGCCAUGCCGCGUGUAUGAAGAAGGCCUUCGGGUUGUAAAGUACUUUCAGCGGGGAGGAAGGGAGUAAAGUUAAUACCUUUGCUCAUUGACGUUACCCGCAGAAGAAGCACCGGCUAACUCCGUGCCAGCAGCCGCGGUAAUACGGGGGGUGCAAGCGUUAAUCGGAAUUACUGGGCGUAAAGCGCACGCAGGCGGUUUGUUAAGUCAGAUGUGAAAUCCCCGGGCUCAACCUGGGAACUGCAUCUGAUACUGGCAAGCUUGAGUCUCGUAGAGGGGGGUAGAAUUCCAGGUGUAGCGGUGAAAUGCGUAGAGAUCUGGAGGAAUACCGGUGGCGAAGGCGGCCCCCUGGACGAAGACUGACGCUCAGGUGCGGAAGCGUGGGGAGCAAACAGGAUUAGAUACCCUCGUAGUC
rnacentral:rRNA from 1 species